rnacentral:rRNA from 1 species
GACGAACGCUGGCGGCGUGCCUAAUACAUGCAAGUCGAGCGAAUCUUCGGGAGCUUGCUCCCAAAGAUUAGCGGCGGACGGGUGAGUAACACGUGGGCAACCUGCCUAUAAGACUGGGAUAACUUCGGGAAACCGGAGCUAAUACCGGAUAAUUCCUUUCCUCUCAUGAGGGAAGGCUGAAAGACGGCUUACGCUGUCACUUAUAGAUGGGCCCGCGGCGCAUUAGCUAGUUGGUGAGGUAACGGCUCACCAGGGCGACGAUGCGUAGCCGACCUGAGAGGGUGAUCGACCACACUGGGACUGAGACACGGCCCAGACUCCUACGGGAGGCAGCAGUAGGGAAUCUUCCGCAAUGGACGAAAGUCUGACGGAGCAACGCCGCGUGAGUGAUGAAGGUUUUCGGAUCGUAAAACUCUGUUGUUAGGGAAGAACAAGUACGAGAGUAACUGCUCGUACCUUGACGGUACCUAACCAGAAAGCCGCGGCUAACUACGUGCCAGCCGCCGCAGUAAAAC